CCCCUAGGAAUUCCGGGCGACAUGGCCCAUAUUCCGACUGUCGGGAUACCGACUAUGGCGAUAAACGCUGUACGGAAUAGGCGUAACGGACCCGGGGGCAGUGCCCGGCGCCUCCACCAUUCCCUCAACGGCCUGAUCGAACCACUGUUCGGGCCCGGGGCUCAUGGGGGCGAAACAGGAUCGACGUGCGUAGUAAAGGUACGGUUUUCGCUCGGCAUGGUACCGCCGUAUCGGGCCAUUUUUACAAGUGCCAAUGAUAACGAAAUGGUGCUCGCUGCCUAAUAGGUAAGCGCGGCCCGGGGGGCGCCGGGCAACAGAAGCCCCCCACC
rnacentral:tmRNA from 1 species